ensembl:lncRNA
GGAUCUAAUGACGUGUGUUAUGUGUCUUGUCAUCCUCAUUUUCCAACUUUCUUAUUUAGUGUAUUUUACAGAACUCUCGGGCCAUGAUGAACUGAAAACAAGAAACAAAACUGGCCCUGGACCGCAGCGAGUCUGGAAGCAAGCAGGUGUCAGAGGCACAGCGUCCCCGGGGCGUGACUGGGCCUGGAGCCAAGUGCCCACCGCAGGACCCAUCCCGUGGACGUGAGCUGACCCGGUGCUCAUCUGCAUCCUCAAGGUUCCAGGAAGUCCGGCAACAGAGAAGUGUGCCCCGUUCAGCUCAUGUGACCCUUCCCCCCAUGUCCCUGACGUUCAGGUGUGUUCCUGAGGCCUCUGUGUGGGUUACGAUGACUUACACCACCAGGCAGGCCUUGGCAAACGCCGACAUGGCAUUUGGGGGGAGGCUCCUUUUUUUAAAAAGUUGAAUUCUUGUUCAUCUGCAAGCCGUCUUUGCCAGAAUGGGGUUUGGUUUCACCCUGCGGGACUGGGAGGAGGGGUGGAGGGGGGUGUGCCAAGAGGAGACUGGGGAUCAGAGAUUCUUUUUUUUUUUAAUGAUUUAUUUAUUUAUUCAUGAGAGACACACAGAGAGAGAGGCAGAGACACAGGCAGAGGGAGAAGCAGGGUCCAUGCAGGGAGUCCGAUGAGGGACUCGAUCCUAGGACCCCGGGAUCACAACCUGAGCAGAAGGCGGCCGUCCCACUGCUGAGCCACCCAGGCGCCCCAGGAUCAGAGAGUCUAAGUACACUGGGGACCCAUCCGUCAGGCCCAUGGAGUCAUUGAAGAAAUGCAGAGGCUCCACACCUCAGGCUCUUCCUCUCCAUGUCAGUCGGUGCAUCUCCCUGCUGGACCACAGGCUUCUGGGCUGGAGGCUGGGAGAGGGGACGGCAGUGGGGUCCUCUUCUCCGUCCCCCACCCCGCCCCCCAGCCUGAGAACAGAGCCCCCCGCAGUAGGACCACAUCGCUGGGUGAAUGCAGCCAGAGGAAGCACGAGCCUCGGAGCAGCUGGAUCAACCUCACGCCUCGGUGAUGCAGAUCACCUGCCACGGCGGACACCCAGCCCUUGAGCGUCCCCUUUGUCAUUAACGAGUGUCACCAACUCACAUUUGUGCCGAAAUCCUUUUAGGUGCCACACGUGCUAUAUCCUUGUAAAUUCUGGGUGUCGGAAACCCCCUUUCCCCCCGACCUCACCCACGGACCUGUGACAACCUCAGCUACAUGAUGGGCUGAUGUCCCACUUUGUGUCACCGGAGGCCCUGAGAUCAGGCCACCUCCUUCACGCAGCCCUCCACAGCGCCCUUGGCCUCACACCCUCAGCAUUUUAUUUGCAUAGUGUGGGCACGGUCAUCCCCCCACCAGGACAGGCUGGUGGCCCCGGAUCCUUCUCGCACAGAGCAAAUGGACUAAAUUAAGCAUGCAUCAAUGAAAUUAUCUGCUUCCCCUGAACCUAGGUGACCUCUGAGCGGGGACACAUUCCUCACAGCUGCCCAGAAGCAGCCGGAGUGUUGACAACCAACAGGAGGAUGUGGCCAGGCCCGCUGUGGGCAGGCGGUUCUCAGGUCCUGUCAGGAGUCAGCGGCGAGGCGCUGGCCUGCUCCCCUUCCCGCCUGGCCGGCCUCCCUGGGAAGGGUCCCACCUCCUGCAGGGUGCCGGCCCCUCUGGGCCCUCGGCCCCUGCCUGGGGCAGCCCUUCCCUCCCUCGGCCCGGCGCCCCUGCAUCCCAGUCCUGCCUUC